GAUGAAGAACGCAGCGAAAUGCGAUAAGUAAUGUGAAUUGCAGAAUUCAGUGAAUCAUCGAAUCUUUGAACGCACAUUGCGCCCUAUGGUAUUCCGUAGGGCAUGCCUGUUCGAGCGUCAUUACAACCCUCAAGCUCUGCUUGGUAGUGGGCGUCGUCCCCUAAACGGACGUGCCUCAAAGACCUCGGCGGUGGCGUCUUUGCCUCAAGCGUAGUAAUAUUUUUAUCUCGCUUUGGAGUCGAAGGCGUCGCCCGCCGGACGAAACCUUUAUUUUUUCUAUCAAGGUUGACCUCGGAUCAGGUAGGGAUACCCGCUGAACUUAAGCAUAUCAAUAAGCGGAGGA
rnacentral:misc_RNA from 1 species